ensembl:misc_RNA Y_RNA Y RNA
GGUUGGUCCUAAGAUAGUGAGUUAUCAAUUGAUCAAAGUCAGUUACAGAUCGAACUCCUUGUUCUACUCUUCCCCCUUCUCACUACUGCACUUAACCAGUCCAAA